rnacentral:lncRNA from 1 species
GACCACUUGUGGUAAUUAUUAACUAUCACCUUUAACCAUGUGAAUUAAAAUUGAGGACCAGCUCAAAAUACAUUUAUAGUGAAUAAACUCUUCAAUAUAGCAACUUUACCCUUCAGGAUGGGGAUUUAGAAGGAGUUGGGAGGAGAGGAAUAGAUAGGUAAUAGUAGGAGAAGGUUUCAAGUGAAGCCAGAGGACACAGGAUGAUCAUGCAAACUCUAGGAAACUGUUGAAGACAAGAGGGAAAGACAGAGUGCAAGAACAAAGACAAGAAUAGAAGAAUUUAACAGAAAUAAGGAAGCUAAAAAUUGUACUCACUUUCCUUUGAAACUAAUGACCAUUAAGUGAAGAAUAAAGAAAAUAAAAGAGAAAAAAGAAAUCUGAAUUAGGGCAGGAACAAGAACAAAAACGGAGAUGUAGAAUAACUUGGGGGAGCAAGGGACUGAGUGGGAAAAAGAAGAAAGAAGGAAGAAUUUGUAGAAUGGGAACAAAUAAAAAUUAAAAAUAAUAGGAAAAGCGAGAAAAACAUUUGAAGAGCCUCUUUCAGGGUAUAUCUCUGCUGUCACAAUAGACAAUGUGGGUGGCAACGUGCAGAACUAAAUUAAUUAGUCUCAGCUAGCCAAAGGCAGACCUUUGAGAUUCAGGCUGAAUUCUGGCUGCAAGGCCCAAGGUGGGCUUCCUGACCUCCUGCAGGGUUGAAUUCUGUAUGGCUCUACUGCAGGUUCCAGCUGCCCUUCCCCUGAAGACAGUCCAAGUUCAGGUGGAAGGUGGUGAUCCCCACAAUUUACCAACUAUGGAAGUCUGAUGUGCCUUUAUUGCUGUUGUUCACUUCCAUUGUAGUUUCUGGAGCUGAGUAAUAUGGCUUUUGUGACCAUCUGUGCCUCUGCAGUGUGGAUCCAGCUGAAGAGGGGGAAGACAAAUGGUGUUGCCUGCCUUUAUCCUCAUAAGGAAACCAGUGAGGAGACAGGCCUUACUGCCCAGUGA